GGCGGCCUGAGGGUGAGGGAGGUGGAAUGAGGUUGAGGGAGGCGGCCUGAGGUUGAGGGCUGGAGUGGACUGGAGAAUCGUGGAGAACUGGAGAUGGAGAGUGGAGCACUGGAGGCGGACUGAGGAAUGACCAGGGAACAAACAAAAACAUGGAAGCGAAAAAAAUUAUAUGUCAACCUCUUCAAAACAGGAGAUCAUUUGAGGAAAAUUGAUGGUGGCUGAAACAGGUUAAUCCAUGCGUGCUUUUCACUUACUAUGAGAUUAGCUCUAUCCAAAUAAUUUACAAAUUAUGUAUACCAAUUUAGACCUUUAAACAGAAGACACUUUUUGUUUUAAUGAAAGAGGAAUUUUAGUUAUGUACUUUGGACAAAAGAAAAAACUUGUACUAAAGUUAUUGUAAUGAACCAAUGAAUUGUUCCUUA